AUUGAACGCUGGCGGCAUGCCUUACACAUGCAAGUCGAACGGUAACAGGUCUUCGGUUGCUGACGAGUGGCGAACGGGUGAGUAAUACAUCGGAACGUGCCCGAUCGUGGGGGAUAACGAAGCGAAAGCUUUGCUAAUACCGCAUAAGAUCUACGGAUGAAAGCAGGGGACCGCAAGGCCUCGCGCGAACGGAGCGGCCGAUGGCAGAUUAGGUAGUUGGUGGGAUAAAAGCUUACCAAGCCGACGAUCUGUAGCUGGUCUGAGAGGACGACCAGCCACACUAGGACUGAGACACGGCCCAGACUCCUACGGGAGGCAGCAGUGGGGAAUUUUGGACAAUGGGCGAAAGCCUGAUCCAGCCAUGCCGCGUGCAGGAUGAAGGCCUUCGGGUUGUAAACUGCUUUUGUACGGAACGAAAAGACUCUGGUUAAUACCUGGGGUCCAUGACGGUACCGGAAGAAUAAGCACCGGCUAACUACGUG
rnacentral:rRNA from 1 species